CAACCCUCAGGCCCUGCCUGGCGUUGGAGGACUGCGCACCGCAGCCUCCCAAAGCAAGCGGCGGCGGCGCCCCAAGUCCGAACGCAGUAGUUUUCUCUCGUUCUGGGCCUGGGACGUCGUCCUGCCGGAAAACCCCCAACUUUUACAU
rnacentral:misc_RNA from 1 species